AAUAAUAAUCCAAUUUCAUUUUUAUUUCAUCAGGACUCAACUCUUAUUUUAUAAAUUUCAACCAACAGACCCAAAUUGGCCCGAAAACCCAGUCUAAUAUCCAUGUCCACUUUAUCGAUCCACCACACUGUAUCCACCAACCAUAUGUAGCCACGUUGUAAAAAAAUAACAAUUCUCACACUUCGACCAAACUAAUUCGAUUCGCUGAUUUAAUCCAGUCCAAGAAUCCCAAAAUUUUAUAAUUUGUGUUAUUUGUUAUUUAUUUUAUUUCUUAUAUUAAAAUGUGGACCGUCCGCUUAAACAAUCGGACCGCCCGUAUUUGAGUCAACAAAUUGAUACAAGUACAUCAAAUAUUUUUUUAUUUCCCAAAAAUUCUGUCACGCGUGUCUCCCCAUUUUCCAACAAACCAGCGUACAGUCUCCAUCUUUCUUUCCCAAAAUAGUCCGCUAUUUCCUCUCAAUUCUCCACCUCUCUCCUCCACCAUCACCAAAAUCAGAAAGCUCUGACCACCAUAGUUGGUCGUCGCUGCCACCACCGUUGUCCCUAGCCUACUCGAAUCUCCCAUUUACAUCAUCCCAAACCCGUGAAUCCAAAAAAAACAGAGAAGAGCAGUCCCAAAAUGGUAUAACAAGCUAUUGUUGAUUUCAAAUCCACCGUUAAUGGCCUGGAAAAGCUAAUAUUUUGAGAUUCUUUUGUGAUUUGAAUUCAAAUUUCAUCCUCCCUCUUUCCCAUUUUUUAUUUUAAGGUUACAAAUCCGAACUUUCAAGUCCGGAUUUGCACCUAUAAAUAGUGGCUUCUCCACCUAUAUGGGACGAAGUUCAAUAUCGGAAAAAAUCAAAAAAAAUUCAAAAUAAGCUUGGGAGAUCCGUGGGAAAGGGGAAGAAACUGAAAAAAUAAUGGGUUGAAGAGGUUGUAAGCGAGAAAAUAAGGGGCUGAAAAUUGUGGACUUUUUUAGGGGUUUUCAAAAUUGGAGAAGAAGGGAAGUUAAAGGCCAAGGAAAUCGAGUGAAAAGGCUUCAACACGUGGAAAAACUUCGAAUAAGUUCUGUUUUCAUUGGAAAAUUUUGAGGUCAAAAAAGGAGAGAUUGAAAAGAGGAAAUGAGGAAAACCAGUAAAAUAGGCAGGGGUCUCAGAAUCGGCUGUCUCUUUCCUAUUUUUGGUCCAAAUUUUUAGUCCCAAAUUUGAAUUCAUUGCUGGAAAAUUCCUAGACGUUAAAGCCCCAAUUUGUUGUGCCAAACAAGGAAUUACAAACUUGGAGUCAUAACUCAAAGGUGAAGACCGGAGUUGCUUCUAUCGGCUGCUGGAGAUAACACACCAAGCUCAACCUUUGUUCAUUUUUUAUCAUUAUUGAUGGGUUGUCUAUCUUAAAUUAACACUCUUUUAAUUGGAAAAAAAGGAUAUGGAUAUUGUUGUUUAUGUUGGAAACGUGGCAGGCUAGUGGUUGUAUUUAUUAAUUACUGUAGCAUGGAUUGUGCAAGUAGUGGGUUCAAGGAUUGAUUUGGAAAGUUGAGGGAUAUUGUGAAGGGGUAAUGAUUAGGUAUUGAAUGAUGGGGUAAUGAUGGGAAGAUAUUGUGGGAGUUGGUAGUUGCUGGAAGUUGUUAGUGGAUUAGUUUUGCAUGGAAAUUUAGGGUCUAGUAAUUGUAGUGCUACGUUGAUUGCUGGAUAGAAUUUUUAUAAGAUUUUACUCUCUCUAUUUCAAAAUAAUUGAAUUAUUAGAAUA